rnacentral:tRNA from 1 species
UGCCCGGUAGUGUAAUGGUAACACACCAGCCUUUGGAGCUGAAGUUCUUGGUUCGAAUCCAAGCUGGGCAACCA